UCUCAUAAACCGUGGCUCAGUUCAGAUCGUAGGCUGCAACUCGCCUACGUGAAGGAGGAAUCGCUAGUAAUCGCAGGUCAGCAUACUGCGGUGAAUACGUUCCCGGGCCUUGUACACACCGCCCGUCACACCAUGGAAGUUGGCCACGCCCGAAGCCGUUACUCCAACCCUUGUGGAGGAGGACGUCGAAGGUGGGGCUGAUGACUGGGGUGAAGUCGUAACAAGGUAGCCGUACCGGAAGGUGCGGCUGGAUCACCUCCUAA
rnacentral:rRNA from 1 species